rnacentral:rRNA from 1 species
GACAGAGGAUGCAAACGUUGCUCGGAUUUACUGGGCGUAAAGAGCGCGCAGGCGGUCGUUCAAGUCGCGUGUGAAAGCCCCCGGCUCAACUGGGGAGGGUCACGCGAUACUGAUCGACUCGAAGGCAGGAGAGGGUAGUGGAAUUCCCGGUGUAGUGGUGAAAUGCGUAGAUAUCGGGAGGAACACCAGUGGCGAAGGCGACUACCUGGCCUGUUCUUGACGCUGAGGCGGCGAAAGCUAGGGGAGCAAACGGG